AGCUUUGCAUAGUGGCAGUAUCAUAGCCAAUGAGGUUUAUCCAAGGCGCAAUUAUUGAUAAUUAAAAUAAAUUCUUAAUUUG
rnacentral:snRNA from 1 species